AUGACGUCCAAGUCUUUUCGGCGGCUUUUCCCGCAGCUCAACGUGCAGUCCAUCCCAGAGGACGAGUUCUAUCGGCAGGCGUCGCUGUCGCAGCUUCUGACCGGUCCAGACGAGCAGGAGCUGGCCUCCUUCCGGCCUGAUGUGAAGGAUCCUCUGGAGCUGGUGGAGGCCACCCCGGAGCUGGCCGGCAUGCUCGGAUCUUCCCUGGAAUUUGUGGACAGUCGCUGGGAUUCAAUGGAAGCUUCUCCUCCAGCAACACCACCCCCACCGGCAUCACCUGCACCGGUGCUACAUAUUCCGGUGUCAUUACCGAACAGCCGAACAGCGGAUCCUGGCACUAAAGUCGACAAAGGUUUGGAAGACAGAAGUGCGGCCUUGGUGCAAGGGCCUAAAAAUCUGGGAAGUUCUACAGCAGAACCAGCGAAAACGGAAACCAAAAUCGAUGCUAGAACAUGGGAAUCACAUCCGCAAGGAAAUAAAAAUAUUCCUUCUCUUGCAAAUCCUAGUGUUAUACUGAACGCAAACAUAUGGGAACCACAGAAACUACGAAGCAAGACCACGGCACUGAAUAAUCCAGACUCUAAACUAGACUCUAGUGCUUGGGAGCCGCAACAACACAAAAACAAAACCUCCAGCAGCAUUCCUGACACAACGACUGGUGCUAACAUGUGGGAACCACAGCGAUUACGAAGUCGGAACACCGUGACCACAAAUACUGUGACCUCUGAUGCCAAGGUGGACCCUGAACCACAGCGACUGCGAAGUAAAACCACUGGAAAUCCUGUGAAUUCUAACGGGAAAGUGAACGCUAACGUUUGGAAACAACAAAAUCAGGGUGGAAAGAACGGAGCAGUUUUAGUCUCCACAAAUGACGGCAGUGCUGUGGAUGGUAACAUUUGGGAACCUCAACGACUGAGAAGUAAGAACGCUGCAAUCAGCUGCUCUUCGAAGUCGGACUCUACAGCGGAUGCAAACAUUUGGGAACGCAAGGGAGUGAAGCGGCAAGUUGAGAACAGCACGGAAACAAAAAGAGAAGCUAGUUCAUUGGAAACCCAAACACUAGGACCUAAGACCUUUAAGUUGGAUGCCUCAUGGCCGAGGAACUUCGGCAACGUUCGCGUCCACAUCAGAGACCUUGGGUUGAGUGUUGGGAUAGGUAACAUACGAAAGGAUGUGAAGAAAGAGCAAGGCAAGGUUGUCGGGAAGACUUCCAGGAUUAAGAGCAGGUCAUGA
rnacentral:lncRNA from 1 species